AUAUCAGUCAUGCAUAGCAUAUCAAUAAGCGGAGGAAAAGAAACUAACAAGGAUUCCCUUAGUAACGGCGAGUGAAGCGGGAAGAGCUCAAAUUUGAAAUCUUCAAGGUUUUACCUUGACGAAUUGUAGUUUAAAGAAGUGUUUUCUGUUGAAGUUUUGGUAAAAGUUCUUUGGAAUAGGACAUCAUAGAGGGUGAGAAUCCCGUAUUUGACCAUUAUUUUCAGCUGUGUGAUACACUUUCAAAGAGUCGGAUUGUUUGGGAAUGCAGUCCAAAAUGGGUGGUAAAUUUCAUCUAAAGCUAAAUAUUGGCGAGAGACCGAUAGCGAACAAGUACCGUGAGGGAAAGAUGGAAAGAACUUUGAAAAGAGAGUUAAACAGUACGUGAAAUUGUCAAAAGGGAAGCGUUUGACACCAGUGUUGUUUUCUCGAAAAUCAAUUAAAAAAAGUUGGAUUUUGUGUUGUAUUGACCUUAACAGCUUUCUGCACUCUUUUCCUGCUUUUUUUAAUGCACUUUUCGUUUAACAAGUCAACAUCAGUUUCUUUUGUUGUAAAAGGGUCACUGGAAGGUGGCUUUCUUUUCGGAGAAAGUGUUUAUAGCCUUUGAUCUCUGCAAUCGGAGAGACUGAGGUCUGCAGCGUAGAUCCUUCGGGGUUAGAUACAUUUGUGCUAAGUUAUAACCUUUUCAUAGACAACUUGUUGACUAUGUUUUAGUCAUGUAGCUUACUCGCUUAUGCUAUUUUACCUACGCUUAGGAUGUUGAAGAUGUAGCACAUCAUACACGCAUGACACACUGCAUAUCAAUAAGCGGAGGAAAAGGUGGUUCUGACUUUAAUCCAAAAGGAAAAUCUGAUCACGAAAUUAUGGCAUUUUGCCAAAGCUUCAUGACUGAAUUGUAUCGCCAUAUUGGAGCAGAUACCGACGUACCUACGCUUAGGAUGUUGAUCUGUAAGUGCGUGCGC
rnacentral:rRNA from 1 species